UACCUAAAACAUGGAUUUAAUGCAUCAGAUCCCAUUAGAACUCCACAAUUAAGCAUGCUCGCUCUAGAUUAGUACUAGGAUGGGUGACUGCUUGAGAAGUACUAGUAUUUUACAUGC
rnacentral:rRNA from 1 species